UCUUCCCUAUGCAGUCCUGUUUCACUCACAUCAGCAGUUGGCCCUCUGUCUAAACUGGAGAAGCAUCAAACAUGAUGAUUUCAUCCUGUGGUACAGCAAAAAAUAGUUAAUGGUGUGUUUGUGUCACAUGGACCACAUGUGUAGACUGUUUAUAAAAUAUCUGUGUCGAUUCCCUCAUGCAUGCACAUGCCCAGAGUAAAAGGAAUAUGUAACACCUGAGGCUGGGAUCAAAAGAUGAAGUAUUUUCACAUGCUAUGAAAUCCCCUCCUGAAACAACUACACAGCAGCACUGGUGAGGAAAGGCUGUGACAAGUCAAAGAUGCUCCUGAAAUGUCAUCCUUGUUGUAUUCUGAUGGAGUGGUACCCACUGAUCCUUAGAUUCUGCACUGAGAAAAAAAUCUUAUCUAAAUUGAUGGGAAAUUGAGUUAAUUUAGAGGUCAUGCAAA